CUUUUUUUCACUCAGCAUAAUAAUCUCCAGGUCUAACCAUGCUGUUGCAAAGGAUACCAUUCUGCAUGGCGUGGGCCCAGACCCCAGUGAGUGGCAAACAUUUACUGCAAGGAAUCCACACUUUUAAUGAAACUGCCUUUGAUGUCUUCCAGGGAGUUUUCCCUAAUUCCCUCCAGGGUGGGGAGAAAAUGAGGCUUCGUGAGAAGGCAGGAAGGAAGGCGUCUCCAUGUCACCGCUAGCCCCUCAUCAUUGCACUCAGAUACUUGUAAAAGAGCCUUGAGGAGAAAUUCAUCUUGAGUUACAGAAGAUCAAAGGCUCUGCGGAUUUAUCCUGGAGGAGGCAGGAUCCAAGAUGGCAGAGGAGUAAGUGGAAGCUACACUAUGCUAUCCUUUUCCCAGGACCAACCUGGAAUUACAACUAAAUUGUAGAGAAACCAUCCUGAAUAACUAACUGAACACUAGCUGGCGAGAAGCCUUAUAACAACGGACAGACAGAAGAAACCACUUCACCACAGCGUGACUGGCUGCCAUCACCAGACGGGGACACCAUGUGACAUCACCAGGUGUGGAUCCAGAAAGAGAAGAAAGUGGUAAACACUAGAUUAUACUGAGAUG